rnacentral:rRNA from 1 species
UGGGGAAUUUUGGACAAUGGGCGAAAGCCUGAUCCAGCAAUGCCGCGUGUGUGAAGAAGGCCUUCGGGUUGUAAAGCACUUUUGUCCGGAAAGAAAUCCUUGGCUCUAAUACAGUCGGGGGAUGACGGUACCGGAAGAAUAAGCACCGGCUAACUACGUGCCAGCAGCCGCGGUAAUACGUAGGGUGCAAGCGUUAAUCGGAAUUACUGGGCGUAAAGCGUGCGCAGGCGGUUUGCUAAGACCGAUGUGAAAUCCCCGGGCUCAACCUGGGAACUGCAUUGGUGACUGGCAGGCUAGAGUAUGGCAGAGGGGGGUAGAAUUCCACGUGUAGCAGUGAAAUGCGUAGAGAUGUGGAGGAAUACCGAUGGCGAAGGCAGCCCCCUGGGCCAAUACUGACGCUCAUGCACGAAAAGCGUGGGGAGCAAAACAGGAUUAGAUACCCUGGUAGUCCACGCCCUAAAACGAUGUCAACUAGUUGUUGGGGAUUCAUUUCCUUAGUAACGUAGCUAACGCGUGAAGUUGACCGCCUGGGGAGUACGGUCGCAAAGAUUAAAACUCAAAUGAAUUGACGGGGUCAUAGCUGUUUCCU